rnacentral:rRNA from 1 species
AUUGAACGCUGGCGGCAUGCCUUACACAUGCAAGUCGAACGGCAGCACGGGAGCAAUCCUGGUGGCGAGUGGCGAACGGGUGAGUAAUAUAUCGGAACGUGCCCAGUCGUGGGGAUAACGUAGCGAAAGCUACGCUAAUACCGCAUACGAUCUAUGGAUGAAAGCGGGGGAUCGCAAGACCUCGCGCGAUUGGAGCGGCCGAUAUCAGAUUAGGUAGUUGGUGAGGUAAAGGCUCACCAAGCCGACGAUCUGUAGCUGGUCUGAGAGGACGACCAGCCACACUGGGACUGAGACACGGCCCAGACUCCUACGGGAGGCAGCAGUGGGGAAUUUUGGACAAUGGGCGCAAGCCUGAUCCAGCAAUGCCGCGUGCAGGAUGAAAGGCCUUCGGGUUGUAAACUGCUUUGUUACGGAACGAAACGGUGAGCUCUAAUACAGUUUGCUAAUGACGGUACCGUAAGAAUAAGACA